GCCAAACCUACAUAGAAAAAGGGAAAGACAAAAACCAUAGAAAAAGACGCCAACAAUGAGGGGAAUUGAAUUCUUUAGUUGAGUCCCACAAAGGGCGGCUGCCAUAGUAUAUAUUCCAAAUGCAUUGGAGAGAUAGAAAAAAGAAGGCUACACUAAUAAUAUAUACACACCGAAAUAGAGAGAGAGGCACUAGAGGAAAAGAGAGAAAUUGGCAGUUGAAAAUAAAUCAAUUGGGCAGAGAAGUGGAAGAACAUUUUGGUAUUGUUUUGGAAGUCAAACAUUGCGGUUGAAUUUAAUAAAUAUACAGCAAUCACAGAAGCCAGAAUUGAAUGGAUUAUGGGG
rnacentral:lncRNA from 1 species